AUACGGAGGCUGCGAGCGUUAUCCGGAUUUAUUGGGUUUAAAGGGAGCGUAGGUGGGAUAUUAAGUCAGCUGUGAAAGUUUGGGGCUCAACCUUAAAAUUGCAGUUGAUACUGGUUUCCUUGAGUACGGUACAGGUGGGCGGAAUUCGUGGUGUAGCGGUGAAAUGCUUAGAUAUCACGAAGAACUCCGAUCGCGAAGGCAGCUCACCGGGCCGGAACUGACACUGAUGCUCGAAAGUGCGGGUAUCAAACAGGAUUAGAUACCCUGGUAGUCCGCACAGUAAACGAUGAAUACUCGCUGUUUGCGAUACACGGUAAGCGGCCAAGCGAAAGCGUUAAGUAUUCCACCUGGGGAGUACGCCGGCAACGGUGAAACUCAAAGGAAUGGGCGGGG
rnacentral:rRNA from 1 species